rnacentral:rRNA from 1 species
UACGGAGGGAGCUAGCGUUGUUCGGAAUUACUGGGCGUAAAGCGCACGUAGGCGGCAAUCCAAGUCAGGGGUGAAAUCCCGGGGCUCAACCCCGGAACUGCCCUUGAAACUGGAUUGCUAGAAUCUUGGAGAGGCGAGUGGAAUUCCGAGUGUAGAGGUGAAAUUCGUAGAUAUUCGGAAGAACACCAGUGGCGAAGGCGACUCGCUGGACAAGUAUUGACGCUGAGGUGCGAAAGCGUGGGGAGCAAACAGG